CCGCUUGUUCCGUGCACAGCGGACGCAGCCGCUAGGUCAGCCCAGUUCUUCUUCUGCUUCGUUAUGGUACGGGAGGGCCGGGUGCGUUGGGAGGAAAUUCUACGGAACUUCACAGCUCGUCACCCCGAGCCAACUCAUGGCGGGGCCGGGUAGAGCUGCGUGCUCCCGCAGUCCCCAUUGGGGAGACCCUUUCCCGUCACUGCGGUGUCGCGAGGACGAGUGCGGACAGGGCGGGUGGGAGGAGGAGGACUGCCUGUUGCAGGCGCACGUGGGAAAUGUCCACCUGCAGCGCUGAGCUCUGCUUCCGCUGGCCGCAAACCUAAUGUAAUCCUCCUUCAGAUGGUUCUGUUGCACUCAAUUUUACAGCUUCCAAGAAACAGAAUUUCCACUUAAAAGUCAGACUUGUUGUUUGAACUAGAAGUUACAUAUGACACUACAGGACCAAAGCCUGCUUCAUUUGCUCAUGAGACUGGAAUUUUCGCUUCCAUUUUGUGAAGACAUCACUAAUUACUUGCACAAAUAAAAAGCGUAUUCAGCAUGUGAGAUAUCUCAAUAGCAAAUUAAUAAAGUGAAGCUGCAAAACAAAUUAUAUUUUACCCAGGAGGACCCUAGUUUCACAUAAUUUGAAACAUACUCAGUAGGUAAAUCUUUUCACUCUCAUCCACCUGAUGAAAUAGCUCUGGUGCUUUUAAAAUAUUUUGCCAUAUGACAGUGGACAAAAGAGUUUGCAUCAUCUGUCAAACUGGUUGCCCAAGACAUUCUACUAUACUGUUGCAGUAGCUGAAGCAAGAAAGUUCAAAGCUUUCUUUCUUAUUGGAAAAGUACUGGCUAGUUUGUACAGAAAACCAGUGAUGGCUCAGUGAUUCUUUCUCACCAUUUUCUGCCUAGAAAGUUGAAAAUAAUAAUAAUGAAUUAAUAUUAGUGGAGAAAUCUGACAGAGGAUUAAGAAUUGCAAUGCAGUAUCCCUAACAACCUGGAAUAGUUAAUUAAGUUCUCUUAUAAAUGAGUUCCAAAAAUAACUUACUUUCAGUAAGUUAUUCUGGGAAACAGCCACUUUAGCAUACCUGAGCUGCAGUGCCUAUUAGAAAAGGGCCAAUUACCCAGUGACUGGCAGUUAAAGGUGAACUGCUAUAGUUCUUAAUUAAAAGGCUUCAUAUUAUAAUCACCAGUAAGUAAUGGAAUACUGCAUAUAUAAGGUAGACAUAGCAUUAGAAGAAUAUUUCCAUUUUAAAACAAGGAUUUUGAAAAACUUCUUCCUUUGCUUGCCAAGCCAAGCUGCUGUGAGAGCUCUGGGGUUGCCAUCUGUGCUACCUACCAUCCUUUGCUGAGGUGCCCCCCCUGUGACCCACCUGCAGCCAGAAGGGUUUCCCUCCCAUAUCAGGUGACAGCAUUGUCUCUGCUGUUAAAGCCCAAAAUUGUUACUACAGAAAUAUUAUUUUAGGUUUUAAAAGUGAAUACAUCAGCCUUUCUAGACAAGGAACUGUCUGUGAAGCUCAUUUAGGUUCCUGCCUGUUACAAUUGGAAAGAUUAGCAUGGUGGAAGGGCAAUACAAAAAUGAGACAACAAAGGGACCAGCACGGAUAGGAUGGUAUUUCACAGGAAAGUAAAUGCACUCACCCAGCUCCAAAGAUCUAGGCUUUAGAAGAUCUAGGAAGAUCUAGGAAGGAAUCUCCUACCAGAAAUCCUUCCAGAGUGGCAGUCAGCCCUUAAAUGGGGUCUAAGAGGUGGAGCCAGGCUCUUCCAGUCACACAGGUGAAUUGCCUUCACCUGUGCUCCCAGGGCUGACCGGUCCUUCCCCCAAGCAAUCAAUCAGUGUUUCAGGCCGCGACUCAUCAGUUCUAGUACACCGGCACUGACAACUUUCCUGAAUUUCCACUUACUUCCCAGUUAAAAGGACAUUAUCAACUCUUCUGUGAGAGACACUGAAGUUAUUUGGGGGGUAAAAAACUUCUAGAUUGGAAGCACGUGCUGUACUGACAUACUAUUAAAUGUGUAUCUCCCCAUCUGGGGACUGAGGGUCAUUCUGUCUUCAUUUCAAGUUCAGCAGAUAUAAACAGCUUUGCUGAAUUGCUGCAUUCUGUAUAACCAUGCUACUAAGGUAUUAUGCCUGAGAUUAUGCACCCUACUGAGAUUAGUUUGAACACCAUAUCACACUGUUCACCUUUUUAGACAGUGACUCCAGGUUUGUCUCCAGCCAUUCACUCAGAUCUGGUCAUCACUCUCUGCACUGCACACAAAGGCUGACUUUUAUCAGACCUGCAGACUUGCUGUUAAGUGCUUUAUCUAUAUGAACGCUAUUAAAAAUAUAUACAACUAAUCCUAUAGUUCCUAGUUUUGAUAAGGAUUGUCAUUUUCCAGGAUAAUUUGACCUAUUUUGCUCAACUAUGUAGUCCAGCAACUUUCCUUCAUCCUCUAGCAUUCAAAGAGACUGGCAGACCUGUAUUUAUUACCCACUGUAACAGGAAGGGAAUUUAGGCUAAGACAGUAUUAUUCACCUUCUUGACUAAUAAGUAAAGGUACAUAUAUGAUGACACUUCUUCCAAGCUUUUGAUAAACUCCUUCCUUUUCAUUAAUCAAUCUACGGAUCUACAGCGAGUUAAAAAAUAAUAAUAAAAACCUUUUGAUGUCAUGCCUCCAUGAAAAUGACCAUUCUGUUUCCAUUUCCAGAAGAAACUAGCACAAGUUAAAAUUUGUAUUCAUCUGAAGCUGAGUAGUUUUUCCCCUUGAGUAGAUCUGUUUUCAGUGUUCAAAAUUUUUAUUUUAUUAGUUAAACUACUAUAAGUAAUUACCACCAAGGGAAACUGUCAAGUGAGACUGGCAAAAUCCUCCAUUUGCCUAUUUUUUUCUGUUCUUCUUAAUCCAUGGGAUUUUGCUGUCUUUUCUCCAAAGGAAGUCCUUUAGUACUCUCAAUGGGGAAAAAAAUAUCUGAUUACUUCUGCCUUUACGAAGAGCCAGUAGUACCUAAGAAGGUUCUAUUCUGAUUUAUUUUAAUUUUGAUUGUGGUGGAAAAAUUAAGCACGGACAUUGUAUUUACAGGUUAAAUAAUCCUGUAUAUUCAUUUUUCAUUUUCCCUCUUAUGAAGAAAAGAAGAAGAAAAUGCUUAUUUUAGAAAUAAACAUUUCAGUUUUAAAAUUUGCAUAACAUUUUUAUAUACAAAACAAAUGUGAGGGCUUUUCCAAUGUUACGCUGUUACAAAUAUGGAUCAGAGGUGAAUUUAUAUUGUGAAGAAUUACAUGUACAAUUUUCAAAACAAAGUUUCUAAUAUAUAAGAUGAUGUAUUUCCUGUGAAGUUUCAUUAGUUGCCAAUGAAGACUCUGAAAAUAGAAAUUUUGAAGCAUUUCUAUGUACUAAAAUCUAUUAUCUCUCAUUAACUGUUCUAGAGGAUGAGAAGAUUGUUUAGACUCAGCAAUCCUUAUAACAUGUCCAUCAUCCAACAACUUUGACUCUAUAGCUACAGGCGUUAACUUAUUGAGAAUUAGUCGUGUAUUUGAUGGUUACAAAAUACCUUGGAAAAAUGUGGUCAGAGUAAUAAUCCUUGAGAACAGGGAGAAAUGAGCUGUCAAGUUAAUGAAAUUAAGCUGCAGUAUCUUCUCCAUCAUCACAGUUUAAAUCACUGGGAUGUUGGAGGCAGAAGUGACUGGUCUAUUUUUAAAGAGAUGCAAAACUUUAAAGAAACAGCUUUAAAGAAAGAAUCUGGGAAUUGAACUUGUUUCAUGAAAUCUAAAACUGAAUGGCAGCAUCUUAUUGUAGUGAUAGAUAAUUUGGGAUAAUUACUCACUUAUUAAAUGGUGCUGCAGUUCAUCACUGGUUAGGAAUAUUUGAGUAGGCUAAAACUGCUGAAGUUUCAGGGGAAUAAGCAAACAGCAGCUUUUUUGGCUCAUUUGUUUUACUGCAAAAAUUUUCCCAUGUCAUAAAAUAUUUAUAACAUAGCUUUAAGUAAUAAAAAGGACUGUUUUCUUUGUACUCCACUGUUCCUAUUGUGUUCAAUUGUGCCAGAACAAAUAAUGUUAACUUUAAAAAUCAAAACAAUUUUUAACUGUGUUGCGUUCAAACUGUUUUAAUCUUACAGUAAGCUUUUCCAUGGGACAAUUGGUCUAAUAAGUAUGGAGUAUUAGUAUGUCCUAAUUAGGAAAAUAGCAAGCUUAACUGUGAAAGAUAAAGCAUUUUAUCACUGCAAGGAAAGCAACAAAUCAGUUGUAACUUCCAGCAUCCAACAGAACUUUAUUACAUUGUAGCAUAAACGACUGACAUAAUAUGCCUCUGAUUUUCAGACCUCAAGGAAGGGUGGAUUUGACAGUGCCCUUUCAAAUAACAUUGAAGCGUCAGCUCCCAUGCCAACAUCAUGCUCUAAUCAGUACAGUCUUUUUUGUUGCAGGGUCUUCCACCUUAUAAUUGACCCUGACAUAUGCUAUUCACUCUACCCCUUGGCUUUGGACAUAUAAUUCCUGUCAUGGUCAAUUAUAAGGUGAUAGAGCCUGCAACCACUGGGACCGUUGCUUAAAAUCAUCCUACACAGUAAGCCCUGAAGUGACCGAAUUCAAAUCUAACUGGAGGGAAAGAGGGGAUUCAGUCUUUGAUAAAACCAAUAUUCUUUUCACUUCUGUACAGAAAAAUGUCGAUUUCCAUCAUACUAUAUAUUACUGAGACAAAUGGUGACAGUGCUAUUUCUGAAACAGGUUAAGGAAAAGUACAAAAGCCUUUCCCAAACAACAUACUCUGAAAUGAGGAAAUUGUCUGUGUGAGCAUACAGUAUGCAUAAAAAUUAGAUUACACUCCAUUUGAAAAGCAGAUGAGAAUUUAAGAGUGACAAGUGGGCAAAUGCUAAAUAUAAGGGCAUGUUACUUCCUUUCCAGCACUGCUUUGUCUGUAUGCUUUCUUUUAUGUUGUGUUUAAAAUACUUUGCACCAGCCUGAAAGACAGUUCUGAUUACCUUAUUGAUAAGAAUUGGUUUUGAACAAAAAAGAGCUCUUCUCAUUGUCCCAUUGGUUCUGUAAUGCCUAAAAAAUUUGGCAAAAAACAAAAACCAGGACACUUUGUCUCUGAUCUUUGAGUAAACAGUAUGACUUUCACAAACAUACAGUUUUACAGUGUGCUGUACUCGUACAGAAUCUUUCCAACUUCAGGAGUAAGAGCUGAGAUGAGCAGAAGUUUUAAUAUCCAUCUGCCAAGAUUUGCUGGAAAAGCUAGAUUGUCAACUGUGGGGUCAUUUCACACAUUUUCUGGCUUUAGUCACCUAUGUAGUUAAGCCAGAGGGACAGCUAUCCCUGUUUCUUCUUGUGUGGACAUUAAUUUCAGUUUGCAAGCUGCCAUUGUCUAUUUUCUGUUUCUUUGUUGUUUUGUUUGUUUGUUUGAUGAAAAAUGAAGGGAAUUUCAAUUAUCUAUAGUGUUUUCAGUCACAAAUUAUAACCUACAGGGAUCUUUCCCUGAUUUGUUUCACUACUGACCAUUUAUUUAACUUCUGUACCUAAACCACUCAAUUCAAAAAUAAUCCUUAAAAGACCUUUGUGAAUCUGCUAAUUUUUACAGGUAAUACAGUAUAUAUCAUAUUUUGAAAACUGUGCUUUGAUGAUAUCUUUAUUUCCUAUCUUAGCCCGACUAGACAAAGCUCUAAUUAACAUUCAUAUAAUUAUCUAAGUCUUUUAAAAUCCCAUCUGUACAGUUUCUCUUAAUGAUGUAUACAGAGCAUAGCAGUCCCAAUAAAUACUAAGCACAUACAGUGCAAGUGCUUUUAAUUUAAACCAUACUGCUGAUUAGUGAUGGGGUAUUCUGAAACUGUUAUACACAUUCUGUAUUUCAAUUGUCAUGGGAACUGAACAGCUCUUCCUGCUGAAGUGCACAGUCCUACAUAUAGCUGGGAGCUGCUAUUCUAGCAUCUGCUGUGGCUGUGUCUACUAUCCAGACAAGUCAACUUUGGAAACUACUGAUUUAGCUAAUUUUGAAAACAGGUGGAUGACUUUACUGGAAUGUGUAACUCAGCUCAAAUGUUUGCAAGACAGAAAUUUACAGUUCUGAAUCUAAUACUGUCUAUUACUGUAUGUAAAUACCAAAUUUCCUCAACUUCAUAAUAAGAAAAGGGGUACUCCUGUGUUUAUCUACCCUGCAUAUAUGAUGUGACAUCCUAAACGUUAUUUCAUAUAAGAGAUAAUUCAGCUUUCAACAGGCUGCAGUCUGUGAAGUGAGGAGGAUGACUCCUGGCUGUUUUAUGGUUUAGAGCAUGACUGAAUACCCUAUCAGGGCUCCAUGAAUUACUCAUUUCAAUACAUAUAUUUUUAAAAAUAUUUAUACUCUAUAUCGGUCUCAUCCUUUAAAUAUCUAAGAGGAGUACCCCUACUGCACUUAAGAAGCAGAGGCAGUAAAACCACAAAAUACUGGGACACCACCAGUGAUAUGAAUGUUAGAAUUUGAUUCUCUGGUAAAUAACUUGUAUGAUUAUUUGUGCAAUUUCAGCUGCUCUUUAUGUCAGCUUCUCUAUCUGUAAAGUAGGCAUAGUUAUAGUUUGCAGAGUAUUUUGAGAUUAAUAGUUACAAAAUAUCAGUGUAAUAAUUAUAGACAAAACAAUCUAUUCUGAAAUCUUUUAACUCAAUUCUAAAUAUCAAUCCAUAAUAUUUACACUGUGGCAGUUAUGGUAAAUGUCUGAUGGAUAACUUUUGUAAGAGUAGCUUGUUUUUAAUGUUUGUUUGCAGGUUCUUCUGGGUAAGUAUACAGGGGCAUCACAAACAAUAUUUAAAUCUCACCACGGCAAAUGAUUUCUCUAUGCUCUACCAGUAACGUAUCUGCAGAACUGCCAGAUGGGGAGAGAAAUUGCAAUGAGAAAAUAAUGAUCAGGUUGUGGUUCAGUAAGAAAAAGGAUCAGACAUUAGAAACAUGAUUUUGAAAAUCAUAUUUUUACUAACUUUAAAUAUUUAAUCAAGUUCUUAAAUAAAAUCUUUGCAUUGAUCUGUCCUCAUGAAUGACAAAAGAGAAAGCCGAAAAUAUCAUAGAGCUAAAGCUGACAGAAAUCUUAACCAAAUACAAUUAAUGUGGAAUAUAAAAAUGGUAAAUAUUUGGAUGAUAGAUGCUGCGGCAAUAUGGGAGUCAAAACAUUGCAGUAAGUUUUGCCUUAAAGAUUUCUAGAAGAUUCUGUACAAUCUCACCUUCUUCAGUUAUGGAAAAGAGUGGUAAAAAAAAAAAGAGCUCUGAAAAAUUUGAUUCUCCCAGGCUCCUCUGUGUACAACAGCUUUAAAAACAAACAUUUAAAGACAGCAAACUAGCAAAACCUGACUGCAUUUUUUAACCCAUUUUCAGGCAGCAUUAGAUCAACAACAGAAAUAAUUGCUGUCAGUUUGUACUUUUUGACCAAUAAUUCUCUGUAUAUCCUGCAAGAAACUUGAGUGAUGCAAAUGACCUUAUUUUUACAGCAUGCUUUUAUUAAAUAGUUUAUUAUUUUGGCAGACUAAUAAAGAUUUUGGUAUUUGCUUUUAUUUGCAAUAAUAUUACCACCACAUAAAAAAGGAUUUUAUGUUCUUUUUGAGGAACAAGGAGGAUAAAAGUGUUGAUGGAUAGUGCAACUAAGGCAUCAGCAAUGAGCUGGAAAUGAGACACAUAAAUAUGAAAGCAGAGCUAAGAAAAUAGAACUGCACCCUUGGCCUUUCUUAAAAGAACACGCGCAUGCCAUGGUUCAUUCAUACAGUUACAGAAACUCCUUUUGUUUUCAGUGAGUUUGUGAAAAUAUGUAAAGACUAAAAUAUUAUUAAGAUUCUCACUUGUUUGACAUAUUUCUGUAGUUAGUGUCACCAUGAAAUAUUUCUAAAAGUUUAAAGAAAUGACUGCUGAGAAUGAUGAUUUUUUAAAAGAUGUUUAUUUUAUCUAAAGUGUAUAUUUUGUCCCUCAUUUGAGCUAUAUAACAAUUUAAUUUCUCAUUUUUCCCUUUUCUAGCCCCAGAUAGACCUAACAUUCUUCAAAUGUUAUAGAGUGGAUACAUAAAAACUAAGAUUAGACAAUCAUACACAAAAUUUCAAAACAACAUUGUCACUCCUCUAAUUAAAAAAAAAAAAGAAAAGAAAAGAAAAAAAAGA